rnacentral:rRNA from 1 species
AUGGCACAAAUUUUGCUCUUACAUUUCUGUGGAUUUUCUGUGGAUUCUGUUUGUGAUAUAGUCAGUUCCUUCCAUACAGCACAACAAUCUACUACAAUUACUGCAUAUGUGGAGCAGUUUGAGCAACUAAUGAAUAUCAUGAGAAGGGAAAACCCUGGGAUCCCUGAUGAUUAUUAUGUUGCUAGUUUUGUGGCUGGGCUUAACCCGUAUAUUAAGAGCCAUGUGGAGUGCUUAAGUCCUAAGGAUAUGCAAACUACAGUGUGGUAUGCUAGGAGGAUAGAAAAGGCUCAAAUACCAACUACAGCAGUGCAAACCAAACCAUAUAUUCCUCAACCUAGAAGACAAGUAAUAUUUGACCAGUCCAAAACCCAUGUACCUACUACCGCACCAAACAAAAACACUGUUAUUCAGCAGGCAAAGAAAAACCAAGUGUGCUACAAGUGUAGAGAGCCAUGGGUGCCAGGUCACAGGCAGGUCUGCAAAAUGAGCCAGAGAGCUCAGAUCCAGGCAUUACAAGCCCAGGAAGUUGAAAACCCUGAAAUAAUCUUUGUCACAGACUUUGAUGACCCUGAUUUGGAAACACAGGAGCAAUUAUCUAAUGAAACAGUGUUGAGAGUAUCUAUGCAUGCUGCUAUGGGCAUAGGAUCAACCAAAAAUACUUUUAUAUUGACUAUAAAAGUAGGAAACACUGUUGCCACAGCACUGGUAGAUAGUGGUAGCACUUCUACUUUCAUUUCUCCUGAAAUGGCAAGCAAGUUACCUGUCACUGCAAGCCCUACAUCCAAAAUAAAGGUGGUGGUUGCUAGUGGGGGAGUACUAUGGACUGAAUUUCAAGUAACAAAUUGCCCUUAUGAAAUACAAGGCCAUCAUUUUACUGACAACUUCAAAGUAUUGAAACUGAAGGGGUAUGACAUGAUUUUGGGAGUUGAUUGGCUCAGGAAAUAUAGUCCAAUACAAAUGGACUUUAUUAAAAUGGAAAUGAAAAUUUCUGAUAGCUCUGGCCAGUUUAUCACAUUUGUGGAUGAGACUGUUCCCCUGGCUCCUGUACCUAAGGACAAGGACAAUACUGAAAAACUGUUGGAACAAGCUGUCUGUGGAUUUUUCUUGUUCACAACUUCUGGUACUAAAUUCAUAGCAACUAGUCCAGGAAUUCCUACAGAAUUGCAGCCACUGUUGGACCAGUAUGAACAGCUGUUUCAAGAGCCAACUGAACUGCCACAAGUAGGCCUUGUGAUCACAUAA